ensembl:lncRNA
CAGAAUGCAUUUGCAGUAUCCACAGAACAGAUGGACUGUCUCUGAAUCAACUUGGAUUAGUUAAGUAUUAGCUUCCAGGAAAUUUCAGGUGGCCCCAUAUUUAUAUUUGUCUAAUUUUGUCUUUGUGUGGCUCUUUCUGACCUGUUUUUGUUGGCAGUGGUUGGGCUUUUUUUUAUUAUUAUUAUUAUUUAUUUUUUUAAUUUUUUGGUUUGCAGAAGAAAUAAUCAGCGUUCUUUCUACAAAUGCUUCCCUUGUAAUAUACAUUUUGAAAUGCAGUGCCUUUCUCUAAUUCUACCUGUAUGAUUCCAAUGAAAAUGUUUUCUUUGUAUUUUCUGAAAGUAAAAAAUGUAACUGUAUGUGAUAGGGUAAAUAGAGGACUAUCUCAUAAAAUUCAUUAACAUUUCUUUUAUGUGCAUGGAUGAAAUUCUGAGAUUGUCAUAUGGUGAGACAAAUACUGAGAGUAAGAUUUUGAUAAUAACUUUUUCCAAGUUCUUCUUUAUUAUCUUUUCAGGUUUUCUGCUAGAUACACUUAGGAAGCCUGUAGUAACACAAAUUUAGAGCUUAAUAAUACCAACUCUGUCUUUGAUGCAGAUCUUUAGUAGAAAUAGCCUCCAAACUGCAGAAUAACUAUUGAGAAGAAUCAAGGAAUUUUCCACAGAAUGGCCAGAUAGCUACAGUCUAUUUUGUUAGUGUGCCUUCAUAUUAUUUUAGUACUCUGCAUGCCUUCUCAAUAGCAGCUGUGCAUUCACAUGCAUAGAAAUACCUACCAGGCUCAAAUAAAGGAAAAUAAAAAUCAGAACUGAAAAAAUACUAGAUUUCUGUUUUUCAGUGCAAACAUCCAUUAGCCCAUUUAUGUGAACUUUAGAAAGUAGUUCUUAAUUAGAUGACUACCUUGUAGUUUUUUUCCGAAGGUUCCCAAGCUCUGCAAACAUGAUGACCAUGUGCUGAUGAUUAGGGAGGGUGUGUACUGUGAAGCAGUGGUCUGGCUCCUUGCUGACAGGAGAGAAAUACAUUUUUGAGUCUAGAUUGCCAUUUCCAGUGCUGGAGAAAAGUGUCCUACAGUGCAUGCAUAUUCAUCUGCUUAUACAGACUUAGAUCUCUCCCCCUUCAUUUUAAGCCCUAUUUUUAUUCAUCUAGUAUCACUCUUCAGUCCCUACUUUUCUCACAUAUUUCUAAUGUUCAUAUUCAAUUACCAGGCUGUAGUCUCUUAAAGUCUCAGAUAUCUACAUCAAGGAGUUUCUCUCAAACUUGCAGCCAGGGUGUCUCACUUUCACCUGUCUCUACAAUUUCUUAUCUCCUCUGCUUCUAUUUCCAUGCCAUAUCCUUGUUCCCUGCCAGGUCUGCCUGCCCUUCUACUUCUUAUUCCUCCAUUCAGUUCUUUCCCUGCUGGAGGGGCUGCACCAUCAGAACUGAUAUGUCUCCAGUAGAUGUUUUCAAUGCCUCACCCAAUAAAUGCCAGCUGAUCCCUGUUCCAGUCGCCCUUUAUUAUCCUGUAGUUUCCUUAUACAAACCCUACAGCGUUUUCUGUUCUUCCUUACAGUGACCACUAUUUUCUUCUUUUCCAUGGACUGUCUACUUCUCUCUUUUUUUAAUAAUUGAUCUUCAUCAACCUGCAGUCAUCGUCUCAGAGGACAAAACAUACAAGUGAGAAUUUAAAGUUAGUCCUACAACUCAUGACACACUUAUCUAUCCCAGAAAAUGACAAAUGAGAUACUGAAACACUUUAUGAGACAAUAGAAAACCUUUGCUCUUCUGAAUUAACAUUGAGCACUUAUUGUACUGAUAAGAUGUAACGGAAAAAUUGUGUGUUUUUUUCUUACAGAGAAAGUGGAAUAUGCGUGCUGAAAACCUGCUACACUACACCAGCUGCUUCAUCCUGAAUACUUAAGUUGACAGGAAAGUCAUCUGAUCCUCAAGCAGGGCCAUCUAGAACAGUUCACCCAGAACCACACAUGGAUAGCUUUUGAAGAUCUCCAGAGAGGAAGAACCCAUAAUCUCUCUGAGCACCCCACGCCAGUGUUCUGUCACCCACACAAUAAAGAAGUUUUUCUGAUACUCUAGAAUUUCUGAUGCUAUAGUAUGCAUUUGUCACAUUACUUGCUUGUUCAAACAGAACUUUUUUUCUACUACUAUGCCUCCGUAUCUUUUAUAUAGUCUAUACAGUUUGUACAUCAUGGCAGAUUGUAUCUUAGCGUGUUACUUCCAUUGAUUAGUUUCCAUGGUUGCAAGCAUUAUACAUGGUAGAGCUCAGUAAAUGCAAACCCUUGAAUAGUUCCUUUAAGCUAUAUAUUGCGAGGGGAAGGAGAAGGAAUAAAUCAGUUAGGAUAUCUUCUGUGCCAUCUAUUGUGAUUAAAGUCUUGUUUGCACAAAAUGGUUCAUUAUUUCUUCUGUGAGCCAUGGUUUAGACUUUCUUGUAGAAGGGAGUAUCCAUAAAGAUGGAUCUCCCUCAAAUCUCAGCCAGAACAGGAUCAGUUCAAAUGAUGAAAGCAAGAAUAGUUGUAACACAUGGAAAAACAUCAAAACUCAAAAACAAAAAGUAAUUGAUCCAAAACACCAAGAAUAAUGAUGUUUUCAUUAAAAUGAAAGUAGAACACACAGGUAAAUCCACAGAAUAUAGGAAUAUCUAAUACCAAACAUGCUUGACAUGCUCAACAAGAGACUGCUUUAUUCUUUGAUGGAAAGCUGGGACUGAAUCUGAUAUGUGCAGAAUAAUAGUGGUGGUGAUAAAUGGUUCAAAAGACAUGGAAACCAAAUAUCCUAUAAAUUAAUAUAUAAUUCAAGAAACGAUAUUCACUGAUCAAUUAAAGAGGCUGAUUGCAAAGCGUCUAUAGCAUAUGUGAAAAUGUUUUGAUAAAUACUAUGUACCUCUUUUCAGUUCAUUUGGGCUAGAAGAUUCUCAAAUGGCUUACAACUGAAUAAAGAUGGCAUUAAAAAAG